CCCCCAUCUCCCUUAGGCUCCCUUUCCUAACCUCCUGGGUGCUUUCUUUUCUCCAGGAGAAGCUCUGAGCCCUCCCUGCUGCAGGGAGGCUCCUGGGGUCUCAGCUUCUUCUGAUCUGAGUUUCCCUCAGCAAACCCAGCCCCAGGAGCCAAGUGCAGAGGACACUCUCCUCGUUGGAAGAGCGAGGGAGUUGACAGUGCUCAUGCUUUCAUAUUUGUUUUUGUCUGUGAAGCACUAUCAAGCUCCAUGCUUGAUAGAUGUUGUUUGUGAGAAGUAGGUUAGGGUAUUAGAGUUUGUGCUUUCUUCUUUUUCUUUCUUUCUUUCUUCUUUCUUCUUCUUUUUUUUUUUUUGAGAUAGAAGAGGAUGAUUUGGAAGUAUAGGGAAGUAGUGGGCUAGGGGAGAAGGUAAAAGAGGAGCCAGGGGGAGGAGAGAGGGUGGGGUGUGGCCUAGGGCAAAGGAAGAGUGGGAACGGUUCAAGGGAGCUGGCCUUCCUGCAUUCUGCCUAAAUAGCUGGCACAAAUGGAGCUUUCAUCAGUGUUCUAGGCCCCAUGAUGUGUAUCAUCUAUUUAAUUCUUACAAUAACCUGGAACUCGGAACUUUAGCAUCCCCAUAAUACAGAUGAGUCAAUUGAGGCACAGCAGAUUGAAGUGACUUGUCUGAGGUCACAAAGCCAGAACUCAGAGCCCAGGUUUCACCGUGUGUGAUCCUGUCAUGCGGUCACAGAGAGCAGGACCCAGGGACAACCUCAACACUGCAGAUCAGUCCACGCUGAAAAACCCUUUCGGAAAGAAAGAAGGCUCUGGAGGCACAACUAUAUCCCCGGUGCUUACAGCUAUGCUAGACCAUGGCAGGAAUACUGAAUCACCACCAGUCCUCGUGGCAAUGUCUCCUGCCAUUUUCAUCCCGCAAAGCUUAUUAUCUAGUAAAUUUCUCAGGAAGAGCUCCUGAGAAAAAUAUUUGGGGUACUUUCAUGUUCAUUAUAGUUUAUCUGUAGUAUUUAGACUUUAAUGUCAAUUUGACUGGAUUAAAAAAAUAUAAAAUCACAAUUUCCCCUGAUUAUGUCAAAGAUAGUCCAUUUUCUCUUGGCAUAAAGCAUGGCUAUUGAGCAAUCUGAUGAUAAUCGUAGUUUUUCUAAGUGACUUCAUCUUUUUUGGGUGCCCAUAGGAUUUUUUUUCAUAAAGUCCAGUUGGUUUUCAAGAUGACAUUUCAAUGUUGGUCAUUCUGUUUUUGUUUUUUCAGUUCCAUGAUAUGUUCCUUUAAUAUGUACAGCUAAUCCUUGAAUACCUUGGAGGCUGGGGCACCAACAUACGUAGUUGGAAAUUUGCAUUUCACUCCCCUAAAAAUAUAACUAAUAAUAGCCUACUCUUGACCAGAAGCCUUAUUGAUAACAUAAUAGUCAACACAUAUUUUGUACGUUACGUGUAUUAUAUGCUGUAUUCUCACAAUAAAGUGAACUAGAGAAAAGAAAAUGUCA
rnacentral:lncRNA from 12 species